rnacentral:rRNA from 27 species
AAAUUGAAGAGUUUGAUCAUGGCUCAGAUUGAACGCUGGCGGCAGGCCUAACACAUGCAAGUCGAACGGUAACAGGAAACAGCUUGCUGUUUCGCUGACGAGUGGCGGACGGGUGAGUAAUGUCUGGGAAACUGCCUGAUGGAGGGGGAUAACUACUGGAAACGGUAGCUAAUACCGCAUAACGUCGCAAGACCAAAGAGGGGGACCUUCGGGCCUCUUGCCAUCGGAUGUGCCCAGAUGGGAUUAGCUAGUAGGUGGGGUAACGGCUCACCUAGGCGACGAUCCCUAGCUGGUCUGAGAGGAUGACCAGCCACACUGGAACUGAGACACGGUCCAGACUCCUACGGGAGGCAGCAGUGGGGAAUAUUGCACAAUGGGCGCAAGCCUGAUGCAGCCAUGCCGCGUGUAUGAAGAAGGCCUUCGGGUUGUAAAGUACUUUCAGCGGGGAGGAAGGGAGUAAAGUUAAUACCUUUGCUCAUUGACGUUACCCGCAGAAGAAGCACCGGCUAACUCCGUGCCAGCAGCCGCGGUAAUACGGAGGGUGCAAGCGUUAAUCGGAAUUACUGGGCGUAAAGCGCACGCAGGCGGUUUGUUAAGUCAGAUGUGAAAUCCCCGGGCUCAACCUGGGAACUGCAUCUGAUACUGGCAAGCUUGAGUCUCGUAGAGGGGGGUAGAAUUCCAGGUGUAGCGGUGAAAUGCGUAGAGAUCUGGAGGAAUACCGGUGGCGAAGGCGGCCCCCUGGACGAAGACUGACGCUCAGGUGCGAAAGCGUGGGGAGCAAACAGGAUUAGAUACCCUGGUAGUCCACGCCGUAAACGAUGUCGACUUGGAGGUUGUGCCCUUGAGGCGUGGCUUCCGGAGCUAACGCGUUAAGUCGACCGCCUGGGGAGUACGGCCGCAAGGUUAAAACUCAAAUGAAUUGACGGGGGCCCGCACAAGCGGUGGAGCAUGUGGUUUAAUUCGAUGCAACGCGAAGAACCUUACCUGGUCUUGACAUCCACGGAAGUUUUCAGAGAUGAGAAUGUGCCUUCGGGAACCGUGAGACAGGUGCUGCAUGGCUGUCGUCAGCUCGUGUUGUGAAAUGUUGGGUUAAGUCCCGCAACGAGCGCAACCCUUAUCCUUUGUUGCCAGCGGUCCGGCCGGGAACUCAAAGGAGACUGCCAGUGAUAAACUGGAGGAAGGUGGGGAUGACGUCAAGUCAUCAUGGCCCUUACGACCAGGGCUACACACGUGCUACAAUGGCGCAUACAAAGAGAAGCGACCUCGCGAGAGCAAGCGGACCUCAUAAAGUGCGUCGUAGUCCGGAUUGGAGUCUGCAACUCGACUCCAUGAAGUCGGAAUCGCUAGUAAUCGUGGAUCAGAAUGCCACGGUGAAUACGUUCCCGGGCCUUGUACACACCGCCCGUCACACCAUGGGAGUGGGUUGCAAAAGAAGUAGGUAGCUUAACCUUCGGGAGGGCGCUUACCACUUUGUGAUUCAUGACUGGGGUGAAGUCGUAACAAGGUAACCGUAGGGGAACCUGCGGUUGGAUCACCUCCUUA